AACACCAUACUUUAGGAAUCAUUUCUAUAGUCUGUUACUUGAGAAGUUUCUCUGAACCUGUGGAGCACCUAAAAAAAAGUUAGAAAAAAAAGAGUAUAGUAAUUAUUUUGA
rnacentral:snoRNA from 1 species